UACGUAGGGUGCGAGCGUUGUCCGGAAUUACUGGGCGUAAAGAGCUCGUAGGUGGUUUGUCGCGUUGUUCGUGAAAACUCACAACUCAAUUGUGGGCGUGCGGGCGAUACGGGCAGACUGGAGUACUGCAGGGGAGACUGGAAUUCCUGGUGUAGCGGUGGAAUGCGCAGAUAUCAGGAGGAACACCGGUGGCGAAAGCGGCUCACUGGCCGGAAUCUGACACUGAGGUGCGAAAGCUAGGGUAGCAAACGGG
rnacentral:rRNA from 1 species